GAUGAAGAACGUAGCUAAAUGCGAUAAGUAAUGUGAAUUGCAGAAUUCAGUGAAUCAUCGAAUCUUUGAACGCACAUUGCGCCCGCCAGUAUUCUGGCGGGCAUGCCUGUUCGAGCGUCAUUACAACCCUCAGGCCCCCGGGCCUGGCGUUGGGGAUCGGCGGAGCCCCCCGUGGGCACACGCCGUCCCCCAAAUACAGUGGCGGUCCCGCCGCAGCUUCCAUCGCGUAGUAGCUAACACCUCGCGACUGGAGAGCGGCGCGGCCACGCCGUAAAACACCCAACUCUUCUGAAGUUGACCUCGAAUCAGGUAGGAAUACCCGCUGAACUUAAGCAUAUCAAUAAGCGGAGGA
rnacentral:misc_RNA from 1 species